CUGAUUCGCGACUUCGGUACGCGUGUUACUAUGCUACAGUGGCGCAACGUCGCGGACAUCGCGACGAAACACAGUCGAGAGCCGGCUCUCGUUCGAGUUUAACCGCCUGCGGGUGUUGAAACAAAAAGACGAGCAUAAAGAAUAUAAAAUGUGUAAAUUUGACGGAUGGGGUCUGAUUCAGAGAUUAAUGAAUCUUCGAGGCACACAGCCCAUGUAAAGUGGGAGAGGCAGGAGGAAAAGAUUCAAUAACUAAGCGAUGAAUGACAAUGAAACGCGAGCGAUUAGGGGGCUCAACUCUCAGGAAAAUUAUGAGUUCACCAGUCAAUAUGAUUGGUCGGAACGAACGAAUUGGCUAGUGAUCAAAAGUUCAACGACUGAAAAUUUGGUUUCUCGUCGAUCGGUGAGCGGAACACGUCACCGAGAUAAGGAAAAUAAAUACGCUCGUUUUUUCAAAAACUGCGCCAGCGAAUUCGGGAGAAAGAGAAAAUCCGGCUAUGGUAGGGGCAAGUUUUGAAACGCCAAGGAGAGAUUGGCUGAGUGACAAACGCGGCAGCAGGCUCCGAGGGGCAAAUUAAUUUAGAGACUCGACCAGCCACCGCUAUAGGACUCGAUGCGAUUUCACCGCAACGAGCUCAUAACAGGUCAAACCGCAACGAUGCUCGAUUUUUAACAACAAAUUAUAAUGCUCAUGGCCGUAGAUUCAGUGGCUAGAAUUAAAGGCUCCAAAACA